UCCACCUAGGUAUCAAGCAAGCAAUAAUGAUUAUGAGACAUCUUAUGCCUCAAAUUAUUACAAUUAUUAGUUUCUAUUUGAGAGGCCAAAAUAUCAUUGGAAGUGCUGCAACGAUCCAUAAAGUCUUCUUGCUCCAAGGCAUCGUAAAUACGUCGUCCCUCCUUUUACAAUCAUCUUGUAGAAAUUACAUAUUUAGAAGAAAUUGGGGUACAAAUUUAGGGGUAAUGGGAUUCAAUCACGCAUAUAUUCAAUCAUCACAUGAUAUAAAUAUAUCAUAAAAUAUCUAGGUCUUUCCAUGAUCAUCCUUCAUGCUAUUAUAAAUGGAAAUAACAUAAAUCAUGCUUCAAAAAUUCAAAAUUGAAUGAAGAUGGCUCUGAUACCACUUGAUGGACAACAUUUGUCCAUGAGGUUUCUAAAAACGCAAUUUUGCGCAGCAAAAUUAAAACGGAUGGCGGAAGCUCUAGAAACCUCGGAUCAGCUUCAUUCUAAAACGAAAAUCAAGAGGAAAGAUUGAAGUUUAAUUACACUUGUAGUUUCAAUAACGACUUCAUGAAGUAGGAGAAAAUGACUGAAAACAGUAAGCUACGAACACUGUCCAGAAAAUAGACCUCUACACGAACAACUUCUAUUUUACCACGAUUUGAGAUCCCUAAAGCACCCCAAUUGUGAUGCCUCUAAUUAGUCCACACUUGAAAUGUUCUAGGAGUUCAUAGGAUUUGGAAUCACCCAAUUUCUUUUAGAAAAUGAGAGAGAUCAUGGAGAAACAUGAAUGCUAGUUCAUGAUGAUUCAUUCCACCAAAUAAAGCCACCAUUAUCUUUUCAAUAAUGGCACCAAACAUUAUCAUGUGCUAGACCUACCCACUAAGCCAUUAUUUAUUGAAUGUGAUCUUAUCACUUCAAUAAUUUAUUCAAUCAAAUUAUUUUGAAUAAAUAAAUAGCUAAAUUAAUUAAUUUUGUCUUUAAUUAAUUAAUCCCAUUUUGAUCAAAUCAAAUGGUUAAUUGUGGCCUUCUUUUGUGACAUGUUCUAAUGUUUUCUCCUAAUCCAUAUUAGGUCCAAUAAUCAUUUAUGAACCGGAACAUGUCCAAAAUGGUCAUUUUACGUGCUCGAUAUUAUACGUAAUGUUUAAUUGAGGAUUUAUGAAAUUUAUUUUGUUCCUUAAACUAUUUAUGGAACAUCUAAAUUUCUAUCUUAAAUCAUAUAUAUCUAUAUAUAUAUUCAUUCUUAAUGAAUUAUAAUAUACUUAAUAUCCAUCAUUACAACUUAACCAUCAUUAUUAAUGGUCUCUCUUUUUAGCAUGUUAUUCCAUUUUCAAUAAUCAAAUAUGUCUAAGCACCCUAAUAUACAUCUCAUGCAUAUUAUAGACAAACUAAUCAAGGAUGAUCAUGGAAUUUUCUAGUAAAACCAAUUUGAGCCAAAAUUGGUUUUAAGGUCCACCUAGGUAUCAAGCAAGCAAUAAUGAUUAUGAGACAUCUUAUGCCUCAAAUUAUUACAAUUAUUAGUUUCUAUCUGAGAGGCCAAAACAUCAAUGGAAGUGGUGCAAGAUCCAUUAAGUCUUCUUGCUCCAAGGCAUCGUAAAUACGUCGUCCCUCCUUUUACAAUCAUCUUAUAGAAAUUACAUAUUUAGAAGAAUUGUGGUACAAAUUUAGGGGUAAUGGGAUACAAUCAGAUCUUAAUAGAGGGAGGGACAUGCAAGUCCCUAUUUAAAAAUAUUACAACCAUUUAAGCCUUUAGAAAUGGGCCAAAUCAACAAAUAAACCAAUAGUUCAUUCAAUCACGCAUAUAUUCAAUCAUCACAUGACAUAAAUCUAUCAUAAAAUAUCUAGGUCUUUCCAUGAUCAUCCUUCAUGCUAUUAUAAAUGGAAAUAACAGAAAUCAUGCUUCAAAAAUUUAAAAUUUAAUGAAGAUGGCUCUGAUACCACUUGAAGGACAACAUUUGUCCAUGGGGUUCCUAAAAAUGAAACUUUUGUGCAGUAAAAUUAAAACGGAUGGCGGAAGCUCUAGAAACCUCGGAUCGACUUCAUUAAAAAAAUAAAAUCAAGAGGAAAGAUUGAAGUUUAAUUACCUCACUUGUAGUUUCAAAAACGACUUCGUGAAGUAGGAGAAAAUGACUGAAAACAGCAAGCUACGAACACUGUCCAGAAAAUAGACCUCUGCACGAACAGC
rnacentral:lncRNA from 1 species